AACGAACGCUGGCGGCAUGUCUAACACAUGCAAGUCGAACGAGACCUUCGGGUCUAGUGGCGCACGGGUGCGUAACGCGUGGGAACCUGCCCUUAGGUUCGGAAUAACUCCCCGAAAGGGGUGCUAAUACCGGAUAAUGUCUUCGGACCAAAGAUUUAUCGCCUUUGGAUGGGCCCGCGUUGGAUUAGCUAGUUGGUAGGGUAAAAGCCUACCAAGGCGACGAUCCAUAGCUGGUCUGAGAGGAUGAUCAGCCACACUGGGACUGAGACACGGCCCAGACUCCUACGGGAGGCAGCAGUGGGGAAUAUUGGACGAUGGGCGAAAGCCUGAUCCAGCAAUGCCGCGUGAGUGAUGAAGGCCUUAGGGUUGUAAAGCUCUUUUACCCGGGAUGAUAAUGACAGUACCGGGAGAAUAAGCUCCGGCUAACUCCGUG
rnacentral:rRNA from 1 species